GACGAACGCUGGCGGCGUGCUUAACACAUGCAAGUCGAACGGAAAGGCCUGCUUUCCCUUGUGGAUUGCGGGUACUCGAGUGGCGAACGGGUGAGUAACACGUGAGUGAUCUGCCCCCAACUUGGGUAUAAGCCUGGGAAACUGGGUCUAAUUCCCGAUAGGACUGCAGGGUGGUGCCUGUGGUGGAAAACGAUUUUCUAGUGGUUGGGGAUGAGCCCGCGGCCUAUCAGCUUGUUGGUGGGGUAAUGGCCUACCAAGGCGGCGACGGGUAGCCGGCCUGAGAGGGUGGACGGCCACAUUGGGACUGAGAUACGGCCCAGACUCCUACGGGAGGCAGCAGUGGGGAAUAGUGCACAAUGGGCGGAAGCCUGAUGCAGCGACGCCGCGUGGGGGAUGACGGCCUUCGGGUUGUAAACUCCUUUCGACCGCGAGGAAGCCACCUGGUUGGAAGGGUGGUGACGGUAGUGGUAGAAGAAGCACCGGCUAACUACGUG
rnacentral:rRNA from 1 species